rnacentral:rRNA from 1 species
AUGCAACAAGCACCUCUUCUAGAGAAGUUGGAUUGGUGUUUUACCUCUGAAGCUUGGACUUUAUCCCACCCAUCUACCCUAGUAUUUCCUCUUGCAAAAACAGCUUCAGAUCAUGUCCCCAUCCAGAUUAAGAUUGGAACUGCUAUCCCAAAGACUAACAUCUUCAGAUUUAAAAAUUUCUGGAUGGAACAUCCGCAGUUCAAGCAAGUGGCCAAAGAUAUUUGGGAACAGGAUGUGCAUGAAACAGAUAGUGCUAAAACCAUUGCCAAAAAAUUCAAGAGGCUAAGGAAAGGGCUCAAGAUAUGGUCCAAAGGACUAUCAGACCUUAAAAGAGUCAUUGAUAACACAAACUUCAUGAUUCUAUGCUAUGAUAUUUUUGAGGAAUACAGAUCUUUGAGCACUGCAGAGCAUGAUGGUAGAUCUGAACUUAAGGUACAUCUUGAUCAUCUUUUGAAAUAUCAGAGGAUUUAUUGGAAGCAGAGAGCCACUGUCAGAAAGAUUAAGUUAGGGGAGGCCAACACUAAAUAUUUCCAAGCCAGAGCCACUAUCAAAUUCAGAAAUAAUUGCAUUGCUAUGCUUCAAGAUGAACAAGGACAUGAGCACUAUGAUCACUCUGCCAAAGCUGCCAUUCUUUACAGAGCUUUCAAAAACAGGAUGGGUACCUCUUCAUCAUCUCUAAAUCAUCUUCAGCUUCAACAUUUGCUCAAUCCAGUGGACUUGUCAGAGUUGGAAAUACCUUUCUCCAAAGAAGAAAUUGACCAUGUUAUUAAUCAUAUGCCUGCUGAUAAGUCACCUGCUCCAGAUGGAUUCAAUGUUGCUUUCUUAAAAAAAUGUUGGGACAUCAUUGCAACAGAUUUCUAUAAGCUUAUUGAGGAUUUCUAUCAUGGGGUAGUCAACAUCCAGAGUAUAAACUACUCUUUCAUUACACUAAUUCCCAAAGUUGAUGGUGCUUCCACACCCAAUGAGUUUAGACCUAUAUCACUACUCAAUUGUACUCUAAAAAUCAUCACUAAACUCCUUGCAAACAGAUUGCAGAAACUGAUCCUCAACCUUGUUCAUAAGAAUCAAUAUGGAUUUCUUAACAACAAAUGCAUCCAGGAUUGCCUAGCCUGGACUUAUGAAUACUUGCACCAAUGCCAGCAAUCAAAGAAAGAAAUUGUUUUGCUCAAACUGGAUUUUGAAAAAGCUUUUGACACAAUCAGCCAUCAAGCUUUGUUUGAUAUUUUAAAAGCUAAAGGUUUUGGAGACAGAUGGCUGAAAUGGAUUGAGAUGAUCUAUGGGACUGGUUUCUCUUCUGUGUUACUAAAUGGGGUACCUGGCAAGCAAUUUUUUUGUAAAAAAGGUGUUAGGCAGGGUGAUCCUCUUUCACCAUUGAUAUUUGUUAUUGCUGCAGACCUUCUGCAAUCUAUGAUGAAUGAAUCGAUGCAACAAUCCCUGGUGGACUCCCCUCUUAUACACACUUCAUGCCCUGAUUAUCCUAUUAUCCAAUAUGCAGAUGACACUAUCUUGGUUGCCAAUGCUCAUGCUGGCCAAUUAUACCAUAUCAAAAAUCUCCUCCUACAUUAUGCUGAUUACACUCGGCUAAAAGUCAACUACGCAAAAUCUAUCCUCAUCCCAAUUAACACUGCUACAAGCAAAGUUAAUCAGCUUGCCACUCUUCUUGGCUGUCAGAUUGGAACUCUACCACAGAAAUACCUUGGUCUCCCUUUGAGCCUGAGCAAACCAAGAAUUGAAGAUUACUUUCCCCUCCUGAAGAGGAUUGAAAACAGACUACUUUGUUGCUCCACUCUACUAUCCACAGGAGAUAAGUUAACCUUGGUCAAAUCUGUACUCUAUGGAAUGCCAAUCUUCUUCAUGUGUACUUUGAGGAUACCAAUUACUGUGGUCAAUCAGAUUAAUUCAUACCUCAAGAAUUGUAUGUGGAGGAAAUUUGGUUCAAUGGAACGAGGCAUGGCUAUGAUAGCUUGGGAUAAGAUUUCUCUACCAAAGACACAUGGAGGUAUGGGUGUAUUGAACAUUCAGAUUCACAACCAAACGCUACUUAUGAAGUUUCUGCACAAAUUCCUAAACAGAGAAGAUAUACCAUGGGUGCAGAUGGUUUGGGAAACCUAUUACUCCAAUACCCUGCCAGGUGAUAGAUCAGUGGGUUCUUUCUAG